rnacentral:rRNA from 1 species
AACGAACGCUGGCGGCAGGCUUAACACAUGCAAGUCGAGCGCCCCGCAAGGGGAGCGGCAGACGGGUGAGUAACGCGUGGGAAUCUACCCAUCUCUACGGAAUAACUCAGGGAAACUUGUGCUAAUACCGUAUACGCCCUUUUGGGGAAAGAUUUAUCGGAGAUGGAUGAGCCCGCGUUGGAUUAGCUAGUUGGUGGGGUAAAGGCCUACCAAGGCGACGAUCCAUUGCUGGUCUGAGAGGAUGAUCAGCCACAUUGGGACUGAGACACGGCCCAAACUCCUACGGGAGGCAGCAGUGGGGAAUAUUGGACAAUGGGCGCAAGCCUGAUCCAGCCAUGCCGCGUGAGUGAUGAAGGCCCUAGGGUUGUAAAGCUCUUUCACCGGAGAAGAUAAUGACGGUAUCCGGAGAAGAAGCCCCGGCUAACUUCGUGCCAGCAGCCGCGGUAA